rnacentral:rRNA from 1 species
UAGGGAAUCUUCGGCAAUGGACGGAAAGUCUGACCGAGCAACGCCGCGUGAGUGAAGAAGGUUUUCGGAUCGUAAAACUCUGUUGGUAGAGAAGAACGUUGGUGAGAGUGGAAAGCUCAUCAAGUGACGGUAACUACCCAGAAAGGGACGGCUAACUACGUGCCAA